rnacentral:rRNA from 1 species
AGUGAACGCUGGCGGUAGGCCUAACACAUGCAAGUCGAACGGCAGCACAGUAAGAGCUUGCUCUUACGGGUGGCGAGUGGCGGACGGGUGAGGAAUACAUCGGAAUCUACUUUUUCGUGGGGGAUAACGUAGGGAAACUUACGCUAAUACCGCAUACGACCUACGGGUGAAAGCAGGGGAUCUUCGGACCCUGCGCGAUUGAAUGAGCCGAUGUCGGAUUAGCUAGUUGGCGGGGUAAAGGCCCACCAAGGCGACGAUCCGUAGCUGGUCUGAGAGGAUGAUCAGCCACACUGGAACUGAGACGCGGUCCAGACUCCUACGGGAGGCAGCAGUGGGGAAUAUUGGACAAAGGGCGCAAGCCUGAUCCAGCCAUACCGCGUGGGUGAAGAAGGCCUUCGGGUUGUAAAGCCCUUUUGUUGGGAAAGAAAAGCAGCAGGUUAAUACCCCGCUGUUCUGACGGUACCCAAAGAAUAAGCACCGGCUAACUUCGUG